rnacentral:piRNA from 1 species
CCAAAAAGGAGGGCACUGAAGAACAGGAU